AGGGGAGAAGCUGUGCCUUAGCAGUUAGCUGUUACCUAACUUGUAGUGAAAACUCACCUGCCCUA
rnacentral:tRNA from 2 species